AUGCAAGUGUAAGUUCACGCCACGCAUUAGAACGGGCGAAACCGCGAAUGGCUCAGGAACCGGACCUAAUCCUCGGGACCGUAAUCCUCCUCGGAGGCGAUGGAUAACUGUGGCAAUUCUAGAGCUAAUACAUGUGACACAGGCCGCGAUCGGCCGUCGCGCCGUGGUCGCCUCGCCUUGCGCGCUGGCACCCGCGGCGGCCGUCUUGGGUCGCGGCGCUACAUAUUAGACUGAGACCGAUGCGCGAUUCCCGCCCUCCCGUCCACGCUGCAGCCCUCGCGGGUUGUCGUCGUGUGGCGGGGCCAAAGGACGGCGCGCUCCGCUUUGGUGACUCUGGAUAACUCACUGGUCGAUCGCACGGGCUUCCACGCCCGGCGACGGGUCCCUCGAGGGUCCGCCCUAUCAACUGUCGACGGUCGGUUAAGUGCCUACCGUGGUUACUACGGGUAACGGGGAAUCGGGGUUCGAUUCCGGAGAGGGAGCAUGCGAAACGGCUACCACA
rnacentral:rRNA from 1 species